rnacentral:rRNA from 1 species
CAACGGAUAUCUCGGCUCUCGCAUCGAUGAAGAACGUAGCGAAAUGCGAUACUUGGUGUGAAUUGCAGAAUCCCGUGAACCAUCGAGUCUUUGAACGCAAGUUGCGCCCGAAGCCAUUUGGCCUAGGGCACGUCUGCCUGGGCGUCACGUACAACGUCGCUUCCCCA